rnacentral:rRNA from 1 species
AUGGCCCUCUUUGAGGAAUUUUACGUCGGCACCAUCGACUUCCGCCACCUCAAUUUUGGGAUCAUCUCCUUGAUUCCCAAGGUUUUCGGCGCCUCGGACAUCCGUUAGUCCCGGCCAAUCACGAUGAUCAAUGUGAUCUUUCGCAUCUUGGCAAAGGGGUACGCCAUUAGGGUGGCCCCUUUGGCCAAUCGCAUUACACAUCCUGACCAGUCGGCCUUCAUCCAAGUGCGAUAUAUCUUGGAUGGGGUCCUAGUCUUCCACGAGGUCCUUCAUGAGGUCCAUGCCAAACACCUGAAUGCCGUCUUCCUAAAGCUCGGCUUCCACCAGGCGUACGAUACGCUCAGUUGGCCCUUCCUUUGGGUUAUGCAGAUGGUUUCAUCAAGGCAGACUGCGGUUAACAUUAACGGUGAGAUCGGUCCCUACUUCCACACCCUUUGUGGGGUACGCCAGGGAGAUCCUUUCUCCCCGUUCCUCUUCAACAUGGUGGUUGAUGUCUUGGGUACGAUCCUCGACAAGGCCAAGGCUGCUGGGCACAUUCGAGGCGUCGUGCCUCACUUGGUGGUGGUGGUGGUGGGGGGGGGGGGCAUGGAGUGUCCCUUUUCCAGUAUGCUGAUGACACAAUCAUUAUGGUUGAGGGGUCUAUGA